UUACUUACCUGGACAGGGUCAAUGGGCGAUCAAGAAGGCCCAUGGUCUAGAUUCACGGUCUCCAUUGCACUCUGGUGAUGCGUUUGUCUAAGGUCAGCCCAAUGGGUUGAGCCUGUGUCAUAAUUUGUGGCAGAGGGGGCCUGCGUUCGCGCGGCUCCUAC